GCCGGGUGCGGUGGCGCGCGCCUGUAAUCCAAGUUGCUGGGAGGCUGAGUCUGGCGGAGCGUUUGAGCUCAGGAGUUCUGAGCUGCAGUGCACUAUGCCGAUCGGGUGUCCGCACUAAGUUCGGUAUCGAUAUGGUGCUCCUAGGGGAGCCCGGGACCACCAGGUCGUCUAAGGAGGGGUGCACCGGUCCAGGUCGGAAACGGAGCAGGUCAAAGCCCCCGUGCCGCUCAGUAGUGGGAUCGCGCCUGUGAAUAGACGCUGGAGUGCAGCCUGAGUAAUACAGCGGGACCCAGAUUCUU
ensembl:misc_RNA Metazoa_SRP Metazoan signal recognition particle RNA